AGGGAGCUCCACUGGGAGGGGGGGUGGUAGUCAUGGUGUGUGGUUUAAGUUUAACCACAGAACUAGUCCUCUAUAGAGGUAGUAGUUUAACCACAGAACUAGUCCUCUAUAGAGGUAGUAGUUUAACCACAGAACUAGUCCUCUAUAGAGGUAGCAGUUUAACCACAGAACUAGUCCUCUAUAGAGGUAGCAGUUUAACCACAGAACUAGUCCUCUAUAGAGGUAGCAGUUUAACCACAGAACUAGUCCUCUAUAGAGGUAGCAGUUUAACCACAGAACUAGUCCUCUAUAGAGGUAGCAGUUUAACCACAGAACUAGUCCUCUAUAGAGGUAGUAGUUUAACCACAGAACUAGUCCUCUAUAGAGGUAGCAGUUUAACCACAGAACUAGUCCUCUAUAGAGGUAGUAGUUUAACCACAGAACUAGUCCUCUAUAGAGGUAGUAGUUUAACCACAGAACUAGUCCUCUAUAGAGGUAGUAGUUUAACCACAGAACUAGUCCUCUAUAGAGGUAGUAGUUUAACCACAGAACUAGUCCUCUAUAGAGGUAGCAGUUUAACCACAGAACUAGUCCUCUAUAGAGGUAGUAGUUUAACCACAGAACUAGUCCUCUAUAGAGGUAGUAGUUUAACCACAGAACUAGUCCUCUAUAGAGGUAGUAGUUUAACCACAGAACUAGUCCUCUAUAGAGGUAGUAGUUUAACCACAGAACCCGUGGUUAAACUAAGCCCACUGACAGUCAGCUAGCCUCCUCUCUCUCUCCCCCUGACAACUCUCAGUUCACCUCUAUACAGCAAUAGGAUUACCAACUCCUCAUUCUGAAUCCAAAAUGUCAAGGUCCAGAGAUUUGACACUGAAUCUUCUAGUGUGACUUCACCACAAGUCUCUCCGUUACUCUGAGACGAGGGCUACAUGCAGAUCAGUUGUCAAAUCAGAAAUGUAAUUCAUGACUUAAAAUGGCUGUUUAUUAAUUAACUCAAUUCAAUUCUGAACUGACCCCAACCUUAAUGUGAAGGGUAUGACUAGUGCCAAAUGGAAACAUUUUUUUUAUGAUAUUUAACUAGGCAAGUCAGUUAAGAACAAAUUCUUAUUUACAAUGACGACCUACUCUGACAACGCUGGUCCAAUUUGCGCCUCCCUAUGGGACUCUCAUUCAUGGCAGGUUGUGAUACUGCUUGGUCUGUAGGGACGCCUUUAGCACUGAGAUACAGUGCCUUAGACCGCUGCGCCACUCGGGCAGGACCAGUGAUUACAAGUCAUGUGUCACUGACCAUUUAGAAUAAAUAGUGACUUAGGACAGUUACCUGUACUACUGAUGCCUCAUAAACACCUAUGAGAAUACUGCCAGACAGCUUCUGCUGCCUAGUGGAACGUCCAGGACCCCCGGUAAACUUCUGUUUCAGACUCAUUUGGUUACACUGCUGUUAUGGAGCCAUGCAUGUUCGUUUUUUCAUUUCCUUCUCGAUUUGCCUUUACUUUGUCUAUAUUUCGUCGUACAGCAUAAGGAGGCUUAUCCCAGCUGUCCUUGUGGCAGAGAAGAGGGUUAUUGAUACAUGUUUCUGCUGCAUUGUGGGUGUUUGUUUUAGUCCAUAUGGAGCACAUUGAUCCAACGAGCAGGAAGUGAAAAAUAUUUUUUUAAAUAACGUGUUUUUUCUUAGUUGUAAUAAUCCAACCACGUGAUUAUUUCAAAUGCAUUUCACAUUUCCACCUACAAGGUUGAGAUAUGUGAAGGAACAGAACAGAGAGAAACUUGGGGACACGGUGAAGUACUGAAUGAGAAGUCUUCAUAUGUAUGUGCUAUUUGUCUGCUUCCUGCCGUUCUACUGCCUCUGGUUAUGAUGACAACUAUUUUGUUCUGCCUUUGGACCCAAAUAGUUCCGCAAACUGGAAUUAACAUUUCAUUUCAAUGUGAAGUAUUCAUGUUGUGUUUAACUUGUUUUUCACCAAGGACAGAAAUGACAGAUUGCAGAUUCUAUGAUUUUCAAAACCAGUGAAAAACCAGUCUCUCUUUUUACGUGUUCAUAUUAGAAGGGCCUGUUUUGACCCUGAGCCAGUCCUAAUAUGGACACCAUAGCUGCCACACCACGUCUCUUUAUCUACCAGAAAACGACAUCUGUACUUGGUUGGAAAGGUUUUGGCCCCUUAGUAUUCUCCUAUACAGUAUGUAGUUGGAAAGGUUUUGGCCCCUUAGUAUUCUCCUAUACAGUAUGUAGUUGGAAAGGUUUUGGCCCCUUAGUAUUCUCCUAUACAGUAUGUAGUUGGAAAGGUUUUGGCCCCUUAGUAUUCUCCUAUACAGAAUGUAGUUGGAAAGGUUUUGGCCCCUUGGUAUUCUCCUAUACAAUAUGUAGUUGGAAAGGUUUUGGCCCCUUAGUAUUCUCCUGAACAGUAUGUAGUUGGAAAGGUUUUGGCCCCUUAGUAUUCUCCUAAACAGUAUGUAGUUGGAAAGGUUUUGGCCCUUUAGUAUUCUCCUAUACAGUAUGUAGUUGGAAAGGUUUUGGCCCCUUAGUAUUCUCCUAAACAGUAUGUAGUUGGAAAGGUUUUGGCCCCUUAGUAUUCUCCUAAACAGUAUGUAGUUGGAAAGGUUUUGGCCCCUUAGUAUUCUCCUAUACAGUAUGUAGUUGGAAAGGUUUUGGCCCCUUAGUAUUCUCCUAAACAGUAUGUAGUUGGAAAGGUUUUGGCCCCUUAGUAUUCUCCUAAACAGUAUGUAGUUGGAAAGGUUUUGGCCCCUUGGUAUUCUCCUAUACAAUAUGUAGUUGGAAAGGUUUUGGCCCCUUAGUAUUCUCCUAAACAGUAUGUAGUUGGAAAGGUUUUGGCCCCUUAGUAUUCUCCUAAACAGUAUGUAGUUGGAAAGGUUUUGGCCCCUUAGUAUUCUCCUAUACAGUAUGUAGUUGGAAAGGUUUUGGCCCCUUAGUAUUCUCCUAUACAGUAUGUAGUUGGAAAGGUUUUGGCCCCUUAGUAUUCUCCUAUACAGUAUGUAGUUGGAAAGGUUUUGGCCCCUUAGUAUUCUCCUAAACAGUAUGUAGUUGGAAAGGUUUUGGCCCCUUAGUAUUCUCCUAAACAGUAUGUAGUUGGAAAGUAUUCUAUGACACAAUCAGCAGCACAAGUACUGUAUCCUCCACCACUGCAGUAGAACUGUAUUAGCUAUGCCUGUUGUACCUAAUACUAUAUCAUCAUGCAUGAUACCUCAAUGUGAGUGUUAUUGCUCUUUACCCUGAGUAUUUGUUAGUUCAAUUAAUAGUAUUUUCCAUUUUUGUCCCGAGGAAAGAUGGUUUGAGGGACAGCUUCUAUUGCUGUUUGGAGAUGGAAAGAAAUCAGUAGCACAAAUUCUGUAGUAACUUUCUGUUGUUAAGGUAAAACACACCAUGGAAAAGGUUUAAGUGUUUAAUACCUUACACCACUGUAUACAGUUAAUUCACAAACAUACACUUACUGUUCAAUAUAGGAUUCAUCUUUACUGUUCAGUAUAGGAUUAAUCUUUACUGUUCAGUAUAGGAUUAAUCUUUACUGUUCAGUAUAGGAUUCAUCUUUACUGUUCAGUAUAGGAUUCAUCUUUACUGUUCAGUAUAGGAUUAAUCUUUACUGUUCAGUAUAGGAUUCAUCUUUACUGUUCAGUAUAGGAUUAAUCUUUACUGUUCAGUAUAGGAUUCAUCUUUACUGUUCAGUAUAGGAUUAAUCUUUACUGUUCAGUAUAGGAUUCAUCUUUACUGUUCAGUAUAGGAUUAAUCUUUACUGUUCAGUAUAGGAUUCAUCUUUACUGUUCAGUAUAGGAUUAAUCUUUACUGUUCAGUAUAGGAUUAAUCUUUACUGUUCAGUAUAGGAUUCAUCUUUACUGUUCAGAAUAGGAUUCAUCUUUACUGUUCAGUAUAGGAUUAAUCUUUACUGUUCAGAAUAGGAUUCAUCUUUACUGUUCAGUAUAGGAUUCAUCUUUACUGUUCAGAAUAGGAUUCAUCUUUACUGUUCAGAAUAGGAUUCAUCUUUACUGUUCAGUAUAGGAUUCAUCUUUACUGUUCAGAAUAGGAUUGAUCUUUACUGUUCAGUAUAGGAUUCAUCUUUACUGUUCAGAAUAGGAUUCAUCUUUACUGUUCAGAAUAGGAUUGAUCUUUACUGUUCAGUAUAGGAUUCAUCUUUACUGUUCAGAAUAGGAUUCAUCUUUACUGUUCAGUAUAGGAUUCAUCUUUACUGUUCAGUAUAGGAUUCAUCUUUACUGUUCAGUAUAGGAUUCAUCUUUACUGUUCAGCAUAGGAUUCAUCUUUACUGUCAAAUAUAGGAUUCAUCUUUACUGUUCAGUAUAAGAUUCAUAUUUACUGUCAAAUAUAGGAUUCAUCUUUACUGUUCAGUAUAGGAUUCAUCUUUACUGUUCAGUAUAGGAUUCAUAGUCAUCCUGGCUUCUACUGUUAAUUUAGUCAUAUUUAUCAUGACCGAUGUUUUGGUCUGUCACUGUUUUUUAAAAACUAUUUCAACAUAUUCAAAAAUACUUCUGUUUAUUUUAUUGUGUUGAUGAAGUGUAUUUAAUAACAUGAAUGAGGGUUUUUACAGACGCAGCACACGUCACCUCAUUCAGUAUUAUCUUCGGAUGAUAUUUCAAUACAUCCUGAUAAUUUGACACAAUCUUAAUUGCAUCUUAAUUGCACAAAUUGUCGUAUUAGAGAGGACACAUUCUUUCGGUUACAUUUUUUGUGUUGAAAUUGAUAUACCUAUCAAACCAAUGUAAUUGUACAGUUGUUUGGACUUUCCUCCAGAUUGAACACACUAUUGUCCCAUGACAAAAUGUGAAUAGUAUUUUUAUAAAGCACAGAGACGAGGCGACCCGCUGACAUGUGUCCAUAGGAGGAGAAUGCUUUGACCUUUUCCCACUCUUCUCUCUGUUUCACGUUCUUUUCUUUUCCUGUUCUUUUUCCCUUCUUGUCUGUUUAUCAGGUGUCAGCGUUAGAUAUGACAGAGCUUCUGUGUGUACGGUAUGUGUACUUUGGGUAGUACAUUUUGAUUUGAAAUGUAAAACACCCUUGUUGGGUACUCGCCUGUGAAACUGGCUAGUUGACCUGUAUGAAGCAUCUCUCUGUGAGUUCUCUAUUUAAUAUCUGUGUUGGGGUUAACAAUGGUUCUUUUUUACCUCUCUCUCUCUCUCUCUCUCUCUCUCUCACUCUCUCCCUCUCUCAAAAUACUUCAGAGCAGUGUUGCCAACUCAACCUGACAAGAUAUGUCUCAGCCCAUUUUCUAUUUCAGUGGUGUGCUAUCCAGUCCAUCUUUCUGCUUGUUUAUCAGUCCAGUGUGCACAUGUACAUUCACCCCUGAGCCAACAUUUUCCAUGAUUUCCAUGUUCGAAGACAUCAAGGUUGAAUUGGAAGAUGUAGAAAUUGAGAUCAAUAUCGUGAGGCACCUCCCACUUGACUGGCCUGUACAGUACGUGAAGACAAACUACUAAAGUUAUUUUGAUGUAAUGUUUGAUUUAACUGCAUGCUUAUUUAUAAAUGUCGUCAAACACUGACAGAGACACAGUGUCCCUCCCUUUUUCCCGGUUCAGCCUCUCUAGCUCCUACUCCCUGCCUCCCCACAGAAUGUUGGCAGCACUGGCUACAACUCUCCACUGAACUUUAGACCAUACCUAAAGCUUGAUAUCAUGGAAGUACUGUUCCUCAUAUUUGUUACAUGAAUCUGUCAAAAAAUAUAUUUUUAAUUUAAUAUAAAUAAAGAUUGAUUCAAUAUUUGA